rnacentral:lncRNA from 1 species
GCAAACUUAGAACAGCAGAGACUGACAAGGAACACACUGUUUUUAGAUCACAGUCAUUGAAGGUUCG